rnacentral:rRNA from 1 species
UACGAAGGGGGCUAGCGUUGCUCGGAAUCACUGGGCGUAAAGGGUGCGUAGGCGGGUUUUUAAGUCAGGGGUGAAAUCCUGGAGCUCAACUCCAGAACUGCCUUUGAUACUGAAGAUCUUGAGUUCGGGAGAGGUGAGUGGAACUGCGAGUGUAGAGGUGAAAUUCGUAGAUAUUCGCAAGAACACCAGUGGCGAAGGCGGCUCACUGGCCCGAUACUGACGCUGAGGCGCGAAAGCGUGGGGAGCAAACAGGG